rnacentral:rRNA from 1 species
GUUGAACGCUGGCGGCAUGCCUAACACAUGCAAGUCGAACGGCAGCGCGGGCUUCGGCCUGGCGGCGAGUGGCGGACGGGUGAGGAAUACAUAGGAAUCUGCCCAGUCGUGGGGGAUAACCCGGGGAAACCCGGACUAAUACCGCAUACGACGGUGACGUGAAAGCAGGGGACCUUCGGGCCUUGCGCGAUUGGAUGAGCCUAUGUCGGAUUAGCUAGUUGGCGGGGUAAAGGCCCACCAAGGCGACGAUCCGUAGCUGGUCUGAGAGGAUGAUCAGCCACACUGGGACUGAGACACGGCCCAGACUCCUACGGGAGGCAGCAGUGGGGAAUAUUGGACAAUGGGCGCAAGCCUGAUCCAGCAAUGCCGCGUGGGUGAAGAAGGCCUCGG